rnacentral:rRNA from 1 species
GAUCAAACGAUGAAGGGCGCAUAGGGGAUGUCUUGGCAUCAGAAGGCGUUGAAGGGCGCGGAAAACUGCGAAAAUCUUCGGGGAGUCGUUAAACAGACCUUGAUCCGGAGGUUCCCGAACUGACACGUGCUGAAUCCAUAGGCACGUGUGGCGAACCCAGGGAACUGAAACAUCUCAAUACCUGGAGGAAGAGAAAGAAAAAUCGAUUCCGUCAGUAGCGGCGAGCGAAAUCGGAAGAGCCCAAACCAACCGGGUUUCCCGAUUGGGGUUGUAGGACCAUUCUUCGUGAGUAAGAAAACAGAUUGAUAGUGGAACGGCGUUGGAACGCGCCGGCCAUAGAGGGUGAGAGCCCCGUACGCGAAAUUGAUCUGUCUCCUGAGUGGCACCUGAGUAGGUCGAGUCACGUGAAACCUUGACUGAAUCGGCGGGGUCCAUCCCGCAAGGCUAAAUACUCUCUGAUGACCGAUAGUGCAAAGUAGAGCGAUCGAAAGAUGAAAAGAACCCCGACUAAGGGGAGGGAAAGAACCUGAAACUAUGUGCCUACAAGCGGUCGGAGCACUAUGAUACAAGUGUGACGGCGUGCCUUUCGCAUAAUGAUCCGGCGAGUUACCGGCAUUGGCCUGGUUAAGAGCUUCCGGCUCGAAGCCCCAGGGAAACCGAGUCUGAAUAGGGCGUAAGUCAAUGUUGGUAGACGCGAAACCCAUGUGAACUACCCAUGAGCAGGUUGAAGCGCGGGUUAUACUGCGUGGAGGACCGAACCCACUUGGGUUGAAAACCGAG